rnacentral:rRNA from 1 species
GGGAUUGCCUCAGUAACGGCGAGUGAAGCGGCAACAGCUCAAAUUUGAAAUCUGGCCCUUUCGGGGUCCGAGUUGUAAUUUGUAGAGAGUGUUUCGGGUGAGACCACGGUCUAAGUCUGUUGGAACAUUACGUCAUAGAGGGUGAGAACCCCGUAUGCGACCGUGGCUCGAGCCCAUGUGAAGCCUCUUCGACGAGUCGAGUUGUUUGGGAAUGCAGCUCAUAAUGGGUGGUAAAUUUCAUCUAAAGCUAAAUACUGGCUGGAGACCGAUAGCGCACAAGUAGAGUGAUCGAAAGAUGAAAAGCACUUUGGAAAGAGAGUCAAACAGUACGUGAAAUUGUUGAAAGGGAAGCGCUGGCAACCAGACCUGUCCGUGGGCGAUCAGCCGCUGUUCUCAGCGGUGCACUCGUUCCGCGAUCAGGCCAGCAUCGGUUUCGGCGGUCGGAUAAAGGCUUGGGGAACGUAGCUCCCUCUCGGGGGAGUGUUAUAGCCCCGGGCGCAAUGCGGCCAGCCGGGACCGAGGACCGCGCUUCGGCUAGGAUGCUGGCGUAAUGGUUGUCAGCGACCCGUCUUGAAACACGGACCAAGGAGUCUAACAUCUAUGCGAGUGUUUGGGUGUUAAACCCAUGCGCGGAAUGAAAGUGAACGGAGGUGAGAACCCUUUUAGGGCGCAUCAUCGACCGAUCCAGAUGUCUUCGGAUGGAUUUGAGUAUGAGCAUAGCUGUUGGGACCCGAAAGGUAAAUCAAUAAUCUCUAACCCCUUUUACAUUGAAUCUAAAGCUAACAUAUUCAAAAGAUGGUGAACUAUGCCUGAAUAGGGUGAAGCCAGAGGAAACUCUGGUGGAGGCUCGCAGCGGUUCUGACGUGCAAAUCGAUCGUCAAAUUUGGGUAUAGGGGCGAAAGACUAAUCGAACCAUCUGUAGCUGGUUCCUGCCGAAGU